UGGUGCAGGAGGAGCUGAGAGUUCUACAUCUUCAUCUGAAAGCUUUUAGCAGAAUACUGGAUUCCAGGCAGCCAGGGGCAAGUGCAUCGCUGAUGAUGGGCAGCUGUUGUGAUGGUGGCUGGGCAUAAUUACCAGAAAACCAAGAGGUCUGCUCCACUUUGCUUAUUAAAGUUAAUCAGCCACUGCAGAGGCUGUCGACUCCUAAUGAUUUUCGUUAAAUUUGGAAAAAAGUUGAACUGCAGAUUAAUUUCAGCAUCCUUCCUCCAGAUACUUCUCAUUGAAAAGAUUCCUGAUUUUGAAGAGGACGUGUGCAUCACAGAAGAUUUAAAAACAUGGGGAUACAAAAUUCUUUCUCUGCAGGCCUGUGAAGGAUGCAGAGACCCCUGAAGCUGGUACCCAACAUGGGGCUACUUCUCAUCCCUUGUGAAGUCCAAAUCCUCAUGUUUUAAAGGGAUGCAGGGACCAAUCAAGGUGCGAAGGGAGUAUUUUCUGAAGCCUCUUUUCAGAACUGUGGCUGUCACUCCAUUCAUAAGAUGACUUUGUACAACAUUGGUCCUGAUAGAAGCAGAGGGACUUCAAUAGCAAUAACAUGCAACUCCCGAGACAGGCAGUGUCUCACAUAGCUCAUACUGGCCUCAAGUUUGCUACAUACCAAGUAUGAUCUUGAACUCAUAAUUCUCCUGCCUCCACACCGCAACUGCUAAGAUUACAAGCAAAUACCACUAUACCUGGCUUCCCUCUUAGGAAACACGAAGGACUUUGCAAGGAUGAUAUUUCCUUCCCUUUAAUAUUUAUCCAUUCCCUUGGUAACGAAUUAUCCUGAAGCUGAUCUAUCAUUAUGGAACCAGAGGAAGCAAAGAAGUCUAAAACAACACUCAAGGAACCAAUGGGAAAUUCUCUACAAGCAGGACUAAGAAGAC